GACGCGAUUUCGUUUGAGUCCCCACCAGACGGGCGAAACCAACUCUCUGCGGCAGAGGGCGGACGGCAGAGGGUUUUGGAGCAGGCAAGCCUGGCUCUUCUUGUUCCUCCAUCUCUUCCGUCGCCUUGCGCGUGUUGGCGGCUGCGUACGCGAGGCCGCCGCGUCUGGCCGGAUGGCUCACGCGGCCGUCGUCGCCUUGCUCGCCGUCGCUGUGAUCUUGGCCUGCUUGCCGCCGCCCGCCGCCUCGUCCUACCGGGGAGCGGCUGCAUUGCGACGGCUCGAGACAGCGGAGCCCAUGGACACCGCGCAGGGCUUGCGGGAGAAGGCGGACGUGAACAAGGGCGCGGAGGAGGACCUGAGCACGACAGGGUUCGGCGCCGAGUCGGAGAGGGAGGUGCCGACGGGACCGGACCCCAUCCACCACCACGCCCGGGGGCCAAGGCGGCAGUCGCCUUGAUCGUCAUGCGCGCGCGACACGGCGGCGGUGGAUCCUCGCUUCCUGGAAGUUUGUGGUCUUGAUCAGGCGGGCGUGAACCGGAUUCCACGAUGAUCCUGCUCUUUCUUUGUUCUUAAAUGUAUCUGCCAUGCACCUUUGGUUCUAAUUCCAUUGUUGUAGUAGGGAAGCAGCAUCCACCUAUCAACUAUCAUCAAAACCCCCCUAUGUUUUGGCGUGCCAAUUAGAGAAAGGGAAUUACAGCGCGAUUCAUAUAAUAAGUGUGUACAAUGAAUUCCA